rnacentral:rRNA from 1 species
AUUGAACGCUGGCGGCAUGCCUUACACAUGCAAGUCGAACGGCAGCACGGGAGCUUGCUCCUGGUGGCGAGUGGCGAACGGGUGAGUAAUACAUCGGAACGUACCCUGAAGUGGGGGAUAACGUAGCGAAAGUUACGCUAAUACCGCAUAUUCUGUGAGCAGGAAAGAGGGGGAUCGCAAGACCUCUUGCUUUAGGAGCGGCCGAUGUCGGAUUAGCUAGUUGGUGAGGUAAAGGCUUACCAAGGCGACGAUCCGUAGCGGGUCUGAGAGGAUGAUCCGCCACACUGGGACUGAGACACGGCCCAGACUCCUACGGGAGGCAGCAGUGGGGAAUUUUGGACAAUGGGCGCAAGCCUGAUCCAGCCAUGCCGCGUGAGUGAAGAAGGCCUUCGGGUUGUAAACUGCUUUUGUACGGUAACGAAACGGUUACUCUCUAAUACAGGGGC